GAUGAACGCUAGCGGCAGGCCUAACACAUGCAAGUCGAGGGAGAAGCCCUUUCGGGGGCGGAGACCGGCGCACGGGAGCGUAACGCGUAUACAACCUUCCUUUCCCCGGGGGAUAGCCCGAAGAACAUUGGAUUAAUACCCCAUCCUAUUAUUGGAUGGCGUCAUUUGAUAAUUAAAACUGCGGUGGUGAAAGAUGGGCAUGCGUCCUAUUAGCUCGUGGGGGUGGUAACGGCAGCCCAAGGCUACGAUAGGUAGGGGUCCUGAGAGGGAGAUCCCUCACACGGGGACCGGCACAGGGACGACAGUGCUACGGCCCGCAGCAGUGAGGGAGAUUGGAGAAUGGACUGAUGCAUGAUCCAGCCAUGCCGGGUGCAGCAAGAACGCCUUAGGGGUUGUAACCUGCUUUUAUAAGGCAGGAAUAAGGUGUACGGGUGCGUUGAUGACGGUAACAGAUGAAUAAGCAUCGGCUAACUCCGUG
rnacentral:rRNA from 1 species